rnacentral:rRNA from 1 species
ACCUCCCCUGACACUCUAAAUCCUCCUCCCAUAGUUGAGUUCUCUUAAGAGUUGCUUUGUCUCAUCUCUCUUUCUCAUCAACUACACUCCCGACAGUCCCCUUCUCCAGCAAAUCAAACAGCGUUUUUUUGAAAUUCUCCAUAGCGGAGGAAAAGAAACCCACCGGGAUUGCCUUAGUAACGGCGAGUGGAGCGGCAAAAGCUCAAAUUUGAAAUCUGGUACCUUCGGUGCCCGAGUUGUAAUUUGGAGAGGGCAACUUUGGGGCCGUUCCUUGUCUAUGUUCCUUGGAACAGGACGUCAUAGAGGGUGAGAAUCCCGUGUGGCGAGGAGUGCGGUUCUUUGUAAAGUGCCUUCGAAGAGUCGAGUUGUUUGGGAAUGCAGCUCUAAGUGGGUGGUAAAUUCCAUCUAAAGCUAAAUAUUGGCGAGAGACCGAUAGCGAACAAGUACAGUGAUGGAAAGAUGAAAAGAACUUUGAAAAGAGAGUGAAAAAGUACGUGAAAUUGUUGAAAGGGAAGGGCAUUUGAUCAGACAUGGUGUUUUGUGCCCUCUGCUCCUUGUGGGUAGGGGAAUCUCGCAUUUCACUGGGCCAGCAUCAGUUUUGGUGGCAGGAUAAAUCCAUAGGAAUGUAGCUUGCCUCGGUAAGUAUUAUAGCCUGUGGGAAUACUGCCAGCUGGGACUGAGGACUGCGACGUAAGUCAAGGAUGCUGCAUAAGACCGAGCUUU